UACAGAGGGUGCAAGCGUUGUUCAGAAUUACUGGGCGUAAAGCGUGCGCAGGCGGUGAUGUAAGACAGAUGUGAAAUCCCCGGGCUCAACCUGGGAACUGCAUUUGUGACUGCAUCGCUGGAGUGCGGCAGAGGGGGAUGGAAUUCCGCGUGUAGCAGUGAAAUGCGUAGAUAUGCGGAGGAACACCGAUGGCGAAGGCAAUCCCCUGGGCCUGCACUGACGCUCAUGCACGAAAGCGUGGGGAGCAAACAGG
rnacentral:rRNA from 1 species